AAAUGAAAACAUUUUUAAAAACUACAAGUCUCAUGCGUUUAGUGGUAAAAAAAUAAUAUAAAAAAUCGUUCGGGAAAUGAGUUUACUCCCUGGGUACUUUCUUUGUAUACUUUUGACUAUACGGGCGGAGUCCGGGAUUUACGGGAAGACGCGGGUUUUCGUUUGCCGGCAAUUAAACUUCUUUUAUUCAGCGUCUCAUCAAAAAUGAAAACAUUUUUAAAAACUACAAGUCUCAUGCGUUUUAGUGGUGAAAAAAAAUUUAAAAAAUCGUUCGGGAAAUGAGUUUACUCCCUGGGUACUUUCUUUGUAUACUUUUGACUAUACGGGCCGAGUCCGGGAUUUACGGGAAAUCGCAGGUUUUCGUUUGCCGGCGAUUAAACUUCUUUUAUUCAGCGUCUCAUCGAAAAUGAAAACAUUUUUGAAAACUACAAGUCUCAUGCGAUUUAGUGGUGAAAAAAUAAUUUAAAAAAUCGUUUGGGAAAUGCGUUUACUCCCUGGGUACUUUCUUUGUAUACUUUUGACUAUGCGGGCCGAGUCCGGGGUUUACGGGAAAUGGCGGGUUUUCGUUUGCCGGCGAUUAAACUUCUUUUAUUCAGCGUCUCAUCAAAAAUGAAAACAUUUUUGAAAACUACAAGUCUCAAGCAUUUUAGUGGUGAAAAGAUAAUUUAAAAAAUCGUUUUGGAAAUGAGUUUACUCACAGGGUACUUUCUUUGUAUACAUUCGACUAUACGGGCCAACCCGGGAUUUACGGGAAAUCGCGGGAUUUCGUUUGCCGGCGAUUAAACCUCUUUCAUUAAGCGUCUCAUCAAAAAUGAAAACAUUUUUGAAAACUACAAGUCUCAUGCGUUUUAGUGGUGAAAUAAUAAUUUAAAAAAUCGUUCUGGAAAUGAGUUUACUCACAGGGUACUUUCUUUGUAUACAUUCGACUAUACGGGCCAAGCCCGGGAUUUACGGGAAAUCGCGGGUUUUCGUUUGCCGGCGAUUAAACAACUUUCAUUAAGCGUCUCAUCCAAAAUGAAAACAUUUUUGAAAACUACAAGUCUCAUGGGCUUUAGUGGUAAAAUAAUAAUUUAAAAAAUCGUUCGGGAAAUGAGUUUACACCCCGGGUACUUUCUUUGUAUACUUUUGACUAUACGGGCCAAGCCCGUGAUUUACGGGAAAUCGCGGGUUUUCGUUUGCCGGCGAUUAAACAACUUUCAUUAAGCGUCUCAUCAAAAAUGAAAACAUUUCUGAAAACUACAAGUCUCAUGCGUUUUAGUGGUGAAAAUUAAUUUAAAAUAUCGUUU